CAGCCGCCGCGGUAAUACGAAGGGGGCUAGCGUUGCUCGGAAUGACUGGGCGUAAAGGGCGCGUAGGCGGCGAUCAAAGUCAGGCGUGAAAUUCCUGGGCUCAACCUGGGGGCUGCGCUUGAUACUUGGUUGCUUGAGUGGGGAAGAGGGUCGUGGAAUUCCCAGUGUAGAGGUGAAAUUCGUAGAGAUGUGGAGGAACACCAGUGGCGGAGGCGACUCUCUGGUCUGUAACUGACGCUGAGGAGCGAAAGCGUGGGGAGCGAACAGGAUUAGAUACCCGCGUAGUCCCUGUCUCUUAUAC
rnacentral:rRNA from 1 species